AGGCCACCAAAAUAUUUGAUCAACUUCCAAAUAUUAUUGUACAAAAGAGAAAGAGGCUUUUGGCACGAGUGCAUCCGCCAUCAACAGCAAGUGAGCUGCGCAUCAUUGGCACAGAAAAGGAAGAGAAAAGCUCCACCGGCCACCUCUGUCAUGCCACCCAUGGCAGCAUUCUCAGAAGACACCACCUGCUGUGCUCACUGCAGGGAGCAUGAUCCACCUGCAAGCUCCCGCAGGAGUGUAUGUCCGAGGUGCUAUGGGUGUGCUGUGACUUCUGCCAGCACUGGUUACCUGCAGUGGGUUCUAGAGGUGGUGGUGAAGCUGGAUUUUUUUAUUGUGGUUUCUGUGACAAUAUAGGGAUGGAGGUCGAGAUGUAAUUGUUUGUUUUCAUAUUACAUUUUUUAUUUGUAAAAAAAAAAGUCUAAAAUAUAUUUAUUCAACCCAUCUUGUGUAUUUCAUCCUUUGCUUUCCAAGUUCAUCUCUGCAACACAAACUCCAACAGUGUUUUAAUUGUUUGUCAAUUGUGAUGGCCCUCCAACUGCUGAAUUCUUUCUCUUUGUUCUUGUUUUCCCUAAUGGGAUGUCGGUGGGCGGAUCCGGGAGUGUCGUCAGCGAAAUGGGACACACCUCGGCCCAGGUGUGUGCGUCCCCAGGAUAAGUACACCUCUUCCCCAUUCAUUGGAAAUCUGCAGUUGUCACAAUGAUCCACAAACCUGGCAAAGACCCAUACAACGUCACAAGUUACAGACCAAUCAGCCUCCUCAGUCAAGUCAGGAAGCUGUUUGAGAGAGUACUCACCCAAAGACUGAGCGGCCACACCGAGGAAAUGGGCCUCCUUGGAAUCCACCAAGCUGGCUUCAGGAAAGCAAGAUCAACCACCGAUAACAUUCUAAGACUGUCAGAGGACAUCCUUCGGAACUUCAAGAAAAAAAGAACUUACCCUGGCGGUUUUCUUUGACAUAGAGAAAGCAUUUGACAAGAUGUGGCACAAUGGACUGUGUUACCGGCUCGCAGACUCCAAUCUCAAACUACCGCUCUCCAUCAGAAACAUCAUCACCAGCUUUCUCCACAACCGUACAAUUAAAGUGAAGGUCUCCACAGCAAUAUCCUCACGCUUCACCCCGGAGGCGGGUGUCCCACAGGGGGCAGUUCUAAGCCCGCUACUUUUUCUACUCUACAUAACAGAUAUCUACUACCCUCCACCCACCAUAGGUCAAGUCUCACAGUUUGCCGAUGACCUCUGCUACUGGUCCAGCUCCAAAUGUCCAGAACUCCAGAAGUCUAUUGAAAUGAUCGAGUCGUGGUCUAACAUGUGGCGAGUAAAAUUCAACCCACAAAAGACCCAAUGCGUCCUCUUCACAAGAAGCACCAGCAAGAAAACCAGGAAACCCAUAGAUCUCAAACUCUACAGUGAAACAAUAAAAGUAGAAAAAGAAGCUAAAUUUAUUUGAGUCACCUUCCAGAAGAACAUGCGCUGGACAUAGAGCGAACAUAGAGAGAGCGGGACGAAAAAGACUAAACCACCUAAAAACGCGGCGCGGAAGAAAAUAUGGAGCCUCACCUCACACAGUGCUGAAAGUCUACAUCAGCUACAUCCGAUCCCUCUUUGAAUACGCCCUGCCAGCCUGGAUAACAGCUUCACCGCAGCAGAUGAAUCGGCUACAGAUAGUCCAAAACAAGGCAGCAAAAAUGGCUUACAGACUACCAAGAUACAUCAGCAACCGCUACGUUAACGGCAUAUCUGGACUGACAUCAAUCAACAAUAGGCAGUCAAUCAUUGGUCAGAAGUUCAUCAACAGAGCCACCCACAACCCAUCAUUGAAGGAAGCCGUGGGACAGGCCAAAUGCACCACAGAUACACCCAUGUCCAUAAUGCUGAAACUGACCUAAAAGAGAGGGGGAAAAAAUGUGUAGAUAUAUGUGAAUGCACUCCUUAGCACCCCCACCCCU